GACGAACGCUGGCGGCGCGCUUAACACAUGCAAGUCGAACGGAAAGGCCUGCUUUCCCUUGUGGAUUGCGGGUACUCGAGUGGCGAACGGGUGAGUAACACGUGAGUGAUCUGCCCCCAACUUGGGUAUAAGCCUGGGAAACUGGGUCUAAUUCCCGAUAGGACUGCAGGGUGGUGCCUGUGGUGGAAAACGAUCUUCUAGUGGUUGGGGAUGAGCUGCAGGCCUAUCAGCUUGUUGGUGGGGUAAUUGCCUACCAAGGCGGCGACGGGUAGCCGGCCUGGGAGCGUGGACAGCCGAAUUGAGACUGGGUUCCGACCCCGACUCGUGCGGGCGGCAGCAGUGGGGACGAUUGGAGCGUGGGCGGGAGCCUGAUGCAGCGACGCAGCGUGGGGGAUGACGGCCUUCGGGUUGUAAGCUCCUUUCGAACGCGAGGAAGCCACCUGGUUGGAAGGGUGGUGACGGUAGUGGUAGAAGAAGCACCGGCUAACUACGUG
rnacentral:rRNA from 1 species